rnacentral:rRNA from 1 species
UAAUACGGAGGGUGCAAGCGUUAAUCGGAAUUACUGGGCGUAAAGCGCACGCAGGCGGUUUGUUAAGUCAGAUGUGAAAUCCCCGGGCUCAACCUGGGAACUGCAUUUGAAACUGGCAAGCUAGAGUCUCGUAGAGGGGGGUAGAAUUCCAGGUGUAGCGGUGAAAUGCGUAGAGAUCUGGAGGAAUACCGGUGGCGAAGGCGGCCCCCUGGACGAAGACUGACGCUCAGGUGCGAAAGCGUGGGGAGGCAAACAGGAUUAGAUACCCUGGUAGUCCACGCUGUAAACGAUGUCGAUUUGGAGGUUGUGCCCUUGAGGCGUGGCUUCCGGAGCUAACGCGUUAAAUCGACCGCCUGGGGAGUACGGUCGCAAGAUUA